rnacentral:rRNA from 2 species
GGGCGUGCGGCGGCUAAUACAUGCAAGUCGAGCGAACUGAUUAGAAGCUUGCUUCUAUGACGUUAGCGGCGGACGGGUGAGUAACACGUGGGCAACCUGCCUGUAAGACUGGGAUAACUUCGGGAAACCGAAGCUAAUACCGGAUAGGAUCUUCUCCUUCAUGGGAGAUGAUUGAAAGAUGGUUUCGGCUAUCACUUACAGAUGGGCCCGCGGUGCAUUAGCUAGUUGGUGAGGUAACGGCUCACCAAGGCAACGAUGCAUAGCCGACCUGAGAGGGUGAUCGGCCACACUGGGACUGAGACACGGCCCAGACUCCUACGGGAGGCAGCAGUAGGGAAUCUUCCGCAAUGGACGAAAGUCUGACGGAGCAACGCCGCGUGAGUGAUGAAGGCUUUCGGGUCGUAAAACUCUGUUGUUAGGGAAGAACAAGUACGAGAGUAACUGCUCGUACCUUGACGGUACCUAACCAGAAAGCCACGGCUAACUACGUGCCAGCAGCCGCGGUAAUACGUAGGUGGCAAGCGUUAUCCGGAAUUAUUGGGCGUAAAGCGCGCGCAGGCGGUUUCUUAAGUCUGAUGUGAAAGCCCACGGCUCAACCGUGGAGGGUCAUUGGAAACUGGGGAACUUGAGUGCAGAAGAGAAAAGCGGAAUUCCACGUGUAGCGGUGAAAUGCGUAGAGAUGUGGAGGAACACCAGUGGCGAAGGCGGCUUUUUGGUCUGUAACUGACGCUGAGGCGCGAAAGCGGGAC